rnacentral:tRNA from 1 species
GGGGCGGUAGCUCAAUCUGGCAGAGCAUCGGACUUUUAAUCCGACGGUUGCGGGUUCGAAUCCCGUCCGCCCCG